GUAUAGGAGAUGCAGAAACGGAUGACGAGAUCUGUAUUGCAAAGUCUCUACAGGAGUUUGCUGGAGUGUUGCAGAACCUGGAGGAUGAGAGGACACGGAUGAUUGAAAAUGCCAAUGAUGUGCUGAUCAUGCCGCUGGAGCGCUUCCGGAAGGAGCAGAUCAGUGCCGCCAAGG